GGGAUAUGUCGUCGUGAUUGAAGUCCUUAAUUCAGAGAAUGACGAAAUAUCCGUAUGUGUUAAUCUAUCUCUCCAGUUGUAGGAAAAAAAAGCAUAUAUAGGAUCCUUUGCACAAAGGCCGAAUCAUAUAAACUGUUAGCCCAUGAAAAUAAAGCCCAUUCUAAUAAUUUUCCGGAAGAACCUAACUUCAUGUCGUUUCUGCUUAUAUUACUAGAACUACACAUUGUCUCAAAUUGAGAACUAGACAAUGAAACGACACGCAGGGAAAGUGGAAACAAUAUGAAACUGACAAUUGACAAACUUGUUUAAGCAAGCUCUCUCUU
rnacentral:lncRNA from 1 species